rnacentral:rRNA from 1 species
AUACGGAGGGUGCAAGCGUUAAGCGGAAUUACUGGGCGUAAAGCGCGCGUAGGCGGUUUAGUCAGUCAGAUGUGAAAGCCCCGGGCUCAACCUGGGAACUGCAUUUGAUACUGCUGAACUAGAGUAUGGUAGAGGGAAGUGGAAUUCCGGGUGUAGCGGUGAAAUGCGUAGAUAUCCGGAGGAACACCAGUGGCGAAGGCGACUUCCUGGACCAAUACUGACGCUGAGGUGCGAAAGCGUGGGUAGCAAACAGGAUUAGAAACCCGAGUAGUCC